rnacentral:rRNA from 1 species
UAUGUGAUCGUCUCUCGCAUAUCAAUAAGCGGAGGAAAAGAAACUAACAAGGAUUCCCCUAGUAACGGCGAGUGGAGCGGGAAGAGCUCAAAUUUGAAAUCUUAAAGGGUUUCCCUUUACGAAUUGUAGUUUAAAGAAGUGUUUUCUGUUGAGGUUUUGGUAAAAGUUCUUUGGAAUAGGACAUCAUAGAGGGUGAGAAUCCCGUAUUUGACCUUUACUUUCAACUUUGUGAUACACUUUCAAAGAGUCGGAUUGUUUGGGAAUGCAGUCCAAAAUGGGUGGUAAAUUUCAUCUAAAGCUAAAUAUUGGCGAGAGACCGAUAGCGAACAAGUACCGUGAGGGAAAGAUGAAAAGAACUUUGAAAAGAGAGUUAAACAGUACGUGAAAUUGUCAAAAGGGAAGCGUUUGACACCAGUGUUGUUUUUCUGAAAAUCAAUUAAAGAACUGUUUAUGCUAAGUUGUUUAGACUUUAUCAGCUAACUGUUUAGUUUUGAGCUUUUCUUUAAUGCACUUUUCAGUUAACAAGUCAACAUCAAUUUCUUUUGCUGUAAAAAAGCUUGAGGAAGGUGGCUUGAGAUUCGUCUUAAGUGUUUAUAGCCUCUUGCCUAUGCAGUCGGAGAGAUUGAGGUCUGCAGCGUAGAUCCUUCGGGGCUAAAUGCAUUUGUGCUAAGUUAUAGCAUUUUAUAGACAACUUGUUGACUAUGAUUUGUCUUGUAGCUUACUCGCUUAUGUUAUUUUACCUACGCUUAGGAUGUUGAUCUACAGAGCGAGAGU